GACGAACGCUGGCGGCGUGCUUAACACAUGCAAGUCGAACGCUGAAGGCCCAGCUUGCUGGGUUGGAUGAGUGGCGAACGGGUGAGUAACACGUGAGUAACCUGCCCCCUUCUUUGGGAUAACGGUCGGAAACGGCUGCUAAUACCGGGUAUUCACUGUCCUUCGCAUGGGGGGUGGUGGAAAGGUUUUUUCUGGUGGGGGAUGGGCUCGCGGCCUAUCAGCUUGUUGGUGGGGUGAUGGCUUACCAAGGCUUUGACGGGUAACCGGCCUGAGAGGGUGACCGGUCACAUUGGGACUGAGAUACGGCCCAGACUCCUACGGGAGGCAGCAGUGGGGAAUAUUGCACAAUGGGCGAAAGCCUGAUGCAGCGACGCCGCGUGAGGGAUGACGGCCUUCGGGUUGUAAACCUCUUUCGCUCAUGGUCAAGCCGCAGCUUUGGGUUGUGGUGAGGGUAGUGGGUAAAGAAGCGCCGGCUAACUACGUGCCAGCAGCCGCGGUAAUACGUAGGGCGCGAGCGUUGUCCGGAAUUAUUGGGCGUAAAGGGCUUGUAGGCGGUUGGUCGCGUCUGUCGUGAAAAUCCUCUGGCUUAACUGGGGGCGUGCGGUGGGUACGGGCUGACUUGGGUGGGGAGGGGAGAUGGAACUCCUGUUUUAUUGGUGGAAUGCU
rnacentral:rRNA from 1 species